CAUGUUUUACAUAAGGUGGGAUGGUCUCAAAAGGACAUAACUACAUUUUUCUAGGGUUUCCAUUACCCUUGAAAGAAAUAAAAAGGUCCCAUUUUGGGUCAUUUGUUUUCUAUAAGAGUUAAAGCCUGCAUGUAUUCGGUGAGUUUGAUUACUGUCGGUGGGUGGUCGAAGUUGGCAACUGAUCCAAGCCCCUUCUAUUGCUAUAUACUAUUAAACACACACACACUCUCUCUUAGACCCUACUGUUUUGCUUCUUUUUGGUGAAUUGGUUAUUCAUUCUUGAGAACUCUCUCCUCUUUUAGUUUUGAUGUUAAUCUGAGUACUAAUUAAUAUUAUGUAUCAUAAAAAAUAUACAUGAUUUUCAUGGGGGUUACAUAGACCAUCAAGUAACAUCUAAAAAGGCUUACAGUCAUACGUCAUAGAAUAUGUUAGAUGCAUACAGCUGCUGUGCUGUCUACCUAACGAUGAUUGGACUCGUUAUCCGCAAUAAUAUGUAGAUGAUUGACUACAGUAAUAAUGCACAAAACAAUUGUGUGAACGAACGAUUGAAUCCAUUUGACU
rnacentral:lncRNA from 1 species